rnacentral:rRNA from 1 species
UACGUAGGGGGCAAGCGUUGUCCGGAUUUACUGGGCGUAAAGAGCGUGUAGGCGGCCAAGCAGGUCCGUUGUGAAAACUCGAGGCUUAACCUCGAGAUGUCAUCGGAAACCAUUUGGCUAGAGUCCGGAAGAGGAAAGUGGAAUUCCUGGUGUAGCGGUGAAAUGCGCAGAUAUCAGGAAGAACACCAAUGGCGAAAGCAGCUUUCUGGGACGGUACUGACGCUGAGACGCGAAAGCGUGGGGAGCGAACAGG